UGGUCGGUGUCGUUGUGGGUUUUGUUUCUUUUGCAGUUGUAGGCUGUAGGACCUAUUGAAAUAACUAAAAUCAUUUGGCGAAGUGAUAUGGAACUGUAACACGGCCAAGACCUGCCUAGAACUACUUUAGCUGUGCAUUUCCCUGAAAAUAAUUGCACACCUUAGAACGUUGGUCAACCAAUCAUAUUUGAGCAUUCAACAGCCCUGUAGUAUAAUACAUUUUUAUUUCAUCCAGGCUUCUCAAUACUUGACUGGACCCCAGUGACACCUGUCACUCCAAAGGUGAAGAACAUCUGCCUUGAGGUGAAGUCAGACAUAGAGGCGAAGGCUGGAACCAAUUUUGAUUGUGCAGGAAGGAACAAACUAUGUGGUGAAGGUGAAGGUUGGGGGAAAUAAAUGUGUUCAUGCGAUGAUAUUUCAACUCCCCCGCUAUGGAGGGGAACUGACUGUGACUAGAGUCCAGUACCCUAAAUCCCGCAGUGACCCUCUGUUCCCCUUCUGAACACGUCUUACCACAUAUGAAAUUGUCUCUUAUCUAAUAGCAAACACAUACAAUGAGCUGUAUAGAACAACUAUUGAAAACUGUUUCAUUCCUCAAUAUUAAACUCAAUAUUCAAACCCUCAGUGUGUCAGUGUUUAUGUGAAGAACACCAAAUUCACUUCACAUUACUAAAAUUGUUUUAUGCUGAAAGAAAUAAUAAACAUAAAAAACAUUUAAAAACAAAAAAAUCCUCAUUCCAAAUCUUUAUAAACAAAAGGUAAAAUAAAAUCAUGCAAAAUGACAUUUAUUUUUUUAAUUGUAAGAUUUAAUUGACUGUCUGAAUGACUUUUAAGGGGGGAAAAAAUUUUU